GACGUAGGGGGCCAGCGUUGUUCGGAAUUACUGGGUGUAAAGCGUGCGCAGGCGGUUUUGUAAGCCAGAUGUGAAAGCCCCGGGCUUAACCUGGGAAUGGCAUUUGGGACUGCAAGGCUUGAGUGCGGCAGAGGAGACUGGAAUUCCUGGUGUAGCAGUGAAAUGCGCAGAUAUCAGGAGGAACACCGGUGGCGAAGGCGGGGUCCUGGGCCAGUAC
rnacentral:rRNA from 1 species